rnacentral:pre_miRNA from 1 species
GGGGGGAGGCGGGUUCCUGGGCUGUGUCCCGGGGGCCCUGUGUCCCCGGCCUGCGCUGUUGGAUUCGUGCUACAGGGGGCAAUCCCCU